rnacentral:rRNA from 1 species
AUACGGAGGGGGUUAGCGUUGUUCGGAAUUACUGGGCGUAAAGCGCACGUAGGCGGAUUGGAAAGUUGGGGGUGAAAUCCCAGGGCUCAACCCUGGAACUGCCUCCAAAACUAACAGUCUAGAGUUCGAGAGAGGUGAGUGGAAUUCCAAGUGUAGAGGUGAAAUUCGUAGAUAUUUGGAGGAACACCAGUGGCGAAGGCGGCUCACGGGCUCGAUACUGACGCUGAGGUGCGAAAGCGUGGGGAGCAAACAGGAGUAGAUACCCCAGUAGUCC